UGACGGUACCACUUGAAUAAGCUCCGGCUAACUACGUGCCAGCAGCCGCGGUAAUGCGUAGGGGGCAAGCGUUAUCCGGAUUUACUGGGUGUAAAGGGCGUGUAGGCGGGACUGCAAGUCAGAUGUGAAAGCACGGGGCUCAACUCCGUGUCUGCAUUUGAAACUGUAGUUCUUGAGUGCUGGAGAGGCUAACGGAAUUCCUAGUGUAGCGGUGAAAUGCGUAGAUAUUAGGAGGAACACCAGUGGCGAAGGCGGUUAGCUGGACAGUAACUGACGCUGAGGCGCGAAAGCGUGGGUAGCAAACAGGAUUAGAUACCCUG
rnacentral:rRNA from 1 species